AGAGGCUAUAAAAAUGCUUAACUCAGAUUAACAAAAGAUGCUAAAACUUGUAUAAACAUUGUCAAGGCAAGAUUGGGAAUGCUGAUUCCAGAGAAAUGCCAAUCUGGACUCUAAAUGCUCCUGGUGACAGGUGGAAGAAGAGGAGGAAAAAUCCUGGAAAGGUUUUAAAAAAGGAGUGGGGAGAGGAAAAAGAGAAGAGACAACCCCAAAUAAAUCAAAGGUUAUAAAUCCUAUAUGGUUAUCUGGGAGAUCAGGAGAAGUAUUAUUAAAGUUUAUGUAUGCUGUCACACCCAUACCAACACCCACUGUGUAUGGUAAUUAACAUGACUGAUUCACUGCUCAGUGUGCAGUUAGGGAAAAAUUCUCAUACCCCUGUAAUGGGAAUUGUAUCUACACCUUAAGUGUCUGUUUUUGCAUUCAUACUUGCAUAUAGACAUAGAUUUUAGGAUUAAUUUUCAGAGGAUGCUGGAAGUGUGCACUUGGGAAUUUGUUGAAAGGAGCCUUUUAAAAGAUACAAUCUGUAGAGCUCAGACUGACUCUGAACCCAGAGCUCUGACUUGGUGCAGUUGAAAAGUUAGGCUGCGAUCUUUCUGAUGUGUUUAAGUCUUUAGAAACAUCCAAAUAAAUGGCAUUUUAUGAAGUUA